AGGGCGUAUGGGGAAUGCCUAGGCACACUCCGGCGAAGAAGGACGCAGCAAACAGCGAAAUGCGACGGUGAGCGGUAAGCACGUGAAGAGCCGUCGAUAUCCGAAUGGGGGAACCCACACGGAGUCAUAUCCGUGUAUCACAUGUCGAAUACAUAGACAUGAUGAGGCGAGACGCAGGGAACUGAAACAUCUAAGUACCUGCAGGAAGAGAAAAUAAGAAUGAUUUUCUGAGUAGCGGCGAGCGAAAGGGAAAGAGCCCAAACCGAUUUGAGGAUCGGGGUAGUAGGAUCAUCGAUAAAUCAAACAGAGGAUCAUAGAGGAAUCACAUGGGAAGGUGAGCGAGAGAGGGUGAGAGCCCCGUACUCGAAAUGAGAGACUGGAGAGAGAUGACACCUGAGUAGGGCGGGACACGAGAAAUCCUGUCUGAAUCAGCCGGGACCAUCCGGCAAGGCUAAAUACGAGAGAGUGACCGAUAGUGAACCAGUACCGUGAGGGAAAGGUGAAAAGAACCCCGGGAGGGGAGUGAAAGAGAACCUGAAACCAUAUGCCUACAAGAAGUCAGAGCCCGUUAAAGGGUGAUGGCGUGCCUUUUGUAGAAUGAACCGGCGAGUUACUGUAUGGAGCGAGGUUAAGCAGGAUAUGCGGAGCCGAAGCGAAAGCGAGUCUUAAGAGGGCGCGAGUUGCAUGCAGUAGACCCGAAACCGGGUGAUCUAGCCAUGACCAGGUUGAAGUUGGGGUAAAACCCGAUGGAGGACCGAACCGACCCCCGUUGAAACGUUGGCGGAUGAGUUGUGGCUAGGGGUGAAAUUCCAAUCGAACCCGGAGAUAGCUGGUUCUCCCCGAAAUAGCUUUAGGGCUAGCGUCGAGAGAAGAGUUGCGUGAAGGUAGAGCACUGAAUAUGUGAUGGCCCCAUCUCGGGGUACUGAGCAUAAUCAAACUGCGAAUGUCACGCCAACAUGCUCGGCAGUCAGACAGCGGGUGAUAAGGUCCGUUGUCAAGAGGGAAACAGCCCAGACCAUCAGCUAAGGUCCCAAAAUGUAUGCUAAGUGGAAAAGGAUGUGGAGAUGUACAGACAACUAGGAGGUUGGCUCAGAAGCAGCCAUCCUUUAAAGAGUGCGUAACAGCUCACUAGUCGAAUGACUCUGCGCCGAUAAUUUACCGGGGCUAAGCAUACUACCGAAGCUAUGGAUCCCAAGGGAUGGUAGGGGAGCGUUCCAUGAACGGAGAAGUACGACCGAAAGGACGUGUGGAGAUCAUGGAAGAGAGAAUGCCGGUGUGAGUAGCGGAACGUGGGUGAGAAUCCCACGCACCGAAAACCCAAGGUUUCCAGAGGAAGGUUCGUCCGCUCUGGGUAAGUCGGGACCUAAGGCGAGGCCGAAAGGCGUAGUCGAUGGACAACAGGUAGAGAUUCCUGUACCCGUAUAUAUGUGAAGGAAUGACGGAGAGAGGAAGCUGCAGCCAGCGGCUGGAAGAGCUGGUGCAAGCGAGAUAUCGGGAUGGCAGGCAAAUCCACCAUCCGAAACGAGAAGGCGUGAAGCGUACGGAAAGCUACGGCGAGUACGGAAGGCAGUGGAGGAACUUCCAAGAAAAGUUUCUAACGUUAAGUAUAUAUGGCCCGUACCGAAAAUGGACACACAUGGGUGAGGAGAGAAUCCUAAGGUGAGCGAGAGAACUAUAGCUAAGGAACUCUGCAAAAUGACCCCGUAACUUAGGGAGAAGGAGUGCUCAUAGAGAUAUGAGCCGCAGUGAAACGGCCCAAGCGACUGUUUACCAAAAACACAGCUCUCUGCUAAGCCGCAAGGCGAAGUAUAGGGGGUGACGCCUGCCCGGUGCUGGAAGGUUAAGGGGAGGGGUUAACGCAAGUGAAGCCCUGAACUGAAGCCCCAGUAAACGGCGGCCGUAACUAUAACGGUCCUAAGGUAGCGAAAUUCCUUGUCAGGUAAGUUCUGACCCGCACGAAAGGCGUAACGAUUUGGGCGCUGUCUCAGCUGUAGACUCGGUGAAGUCUUAGUACCUGUGAAGAUGCAGGUUACCCGCGACUAGACGGAAAGACCCCAUGGAGCUUCACUGCAGGUUGAUAUUGGGAUUUGAUGCAGCAUGUACAGGAUAGGUAGGAGGCAAAGAGAUGGAUACGCCAGUAUUCAAGGAGCCGCUGUUGGGAUACUACCCCUGUUGUAUUGGAUUUCUAACCGGACGACGUAGAGCCGUUGACGGGACAGUGUCAGUCGGGCAGUUUGACUGGGGCGGUCGCCUCCCAAAGAGUAACGGAGGCGCCCAAAGAUACCCUCAGCUUGGAUGGAAACCAAGCGCAGAGUGCAAAGGCAAAAGGGUGUUUGACUGCGAGACCUACAAGUCGAGCAGGGACGAAAGUCGGGCUUAGUGAUCCGG
rnacentral:rRNA from 1 species